rnacentral:rRNA from 1 species
GGGGAUUUUGGACAAUGGGGGUACCCUGAUCCAGCCAUCCCGCGUGUGCGAUGAAGGCUUUCGGGUUGUAAUAGCACUUUUGGCAGGAAAGAGACGUCUGCGGGUUAAUACCCCGCGAAACUGACGGUACCUGCUAGAAUAAGCACCGGCUAACUACGUGCCAGCAGCCCGCGGUAAUACGUAGGGUGCAAGCGUUAAUCGGUAAUUACUGGGCGUAAAGCGUGCGCAGGCGGUUCGCGAAAGAAAGUAUGUGACAAUCCCAGAGCUUAACUUUGGAACUGCAUUUUUAACUACCGGGCUAGAGUGUGUCAGAGGGAGGUGGAAUUCCGCGUGUAGCAGUGAAAUGCGUAGAUAUGCGGAGGAACACCGAUGGCGAAGGCAGCCUCCUGGGAUAACACUGACGCUCAUGCACGAAAGCGUGGGGAGCAAACAGGAUUAGAUACCCUGGUAGUCCACGCCCUAAACGAUGUCAACUAGCUGUUGGGGCCUUCGGGCCUUGGUAGCGCAGCUAACGCGUGAAGUUGACCGUCUUGGGGAGU